rnacentral:tRNA from 1 species
UGGUUCAGUGGUAGAACUCUUGCCUUCCAUGCAGGAGACCCUGGGUUGAUUCCUGG